rnacentral:tRNA from 1 species
UGAGGAUGUAGCUCAGUGGUAGAACAUCUGCCUAUCAUGCCCAGAGCCCUGGAUUUGAUCCCCAGCACCACAA